CCCUCGGCUGACGGCUCAGUAACACGUGGACAAUCUGCCCUCAGGUGGGGGAUAAUCUCGGGAAACUGAGGAUAAUAUCCCAUAGGUAUCCUUUGCUGGAACGCUUGGAUGCUGAAAGCCCAAAGCGCCUGAGGAUGAGUCUAUGGCCUAUCAGGUAGUAGUGGGUGUAACGGACCCACUAGCCUGCGACGGGUACGGGCCUUGGAAGAGGUAGCCCGGAGAUGGACUCUGAGACACGAGUCCAGGCCCUACGGGGCGCAGCAGGCGCGAAAACUUCGCAAUGCGGGAAACCGUGACGAGGGAAUCCCGAGUGCUCAUGCAAUGCAUGGGCUUUUCUGAUGUGUAAAGAGCUUCAGGAAUAAGGGCUGGGUAGGACCGGUGCCAGCCGCCGCGGUAAUACCGGCAGCCCGAGUGGUAGUCGCUUUUAUUGGGCCUACAGCGUCCGUAGCCGGUCAGGUAAAUCCUUGGGUAAAUCGUACAGCUCAACUGUGCGGAUUCCGGGGAGACUGCCUGACUUGGGACCGGGAGAGGUUGGAGGUACUCCUGAGGUAGGGGUGAAAUCCUAUAAUCUUAGGAGGACCACCAGUGGCGAAGGCGGUCGGCUAGAACGCGCUCGACGGUGAGGGACGAAAGCUGGGGGAGCGAUCCGGAUUAGAUACCCGGGUAGUCCCAGCUGUAAACUAUGCAGGCUAGGUGUUGGCGUGACCACGAGUCACGUCAGUGCCGCAGGGAAGCUGUUAAGCCUGCCGCCUGGGGAGUACGGUCGCAAGACUGAAACUUAAAGGAAUUGGCGGGGGAGCACCACAAGGGGUGAAGCUUGCGGUUCAAUUGGAGUCAACACCGGGAACCUUACCGGGGAAGACAGCAGAUUGAAGGCCAGAUUAAAGGUCUUGCCAGACAAGCUGAGAGGAGGUGCAUGGCCGUCGCCAGUUCGUGCCGUGAGGUGUCCUGUUAAGUCAGGCAACGAUCGAGACCCACACCUCUUGUUGCCAGCGGUACUCCGGAAGGAGAUCGGGCACACUAGAGGGACUGCCGCCGA
rnacentral:rRNA from 1 species